rnacentral:rRNA from 1 species
GACGAACGCUGGCGGCGUGCUUAACACAUGCAAGUCGAACGGUGAAGGGACUGGUUUUGCUGGUCCUGGAUGAGUGGCGAACGGGUGAGUAACACGUGAGUAACCUGCCCCCUUCUUCUGGAUAACCGCAUGAAAGUGUGGCUAAUACGGGAUAUUCUGGGUCUGUCGCAUGGUGGGCCUGGGAAAGAUUGCGCCUUUUUUGGUGUUUUUGGUGGGGGAUGGUGUCGCGGCCUAUCAGCUUGUUGGUGGGGUGAUGGCCUACCAAGGCGGUGACGGGUAGCCGGCCUGAGAGGGUGGACGGUCACACUGGGACUGAGGCACGGCCCAGACUCCUACGGGAGGCAGCAGUGGGGAAUAUUGCACAAUGGGCGCAAGCCUGAUGCAGCGACGCCGCGUGAGGGAUGGAGGCCUUCGGGUUGUGAACCUCUUUCGCCAGUGAAGCAGGCCUGCCUCUUUUUGUGGGUGGGUUGACGGUAGCUGGAUAAGAAGCGCCGGCUAACUACGUG